CCUACGGGUGGCUGCAGUGGGGAAUUUUGGACAAUGGGGGAAACCCUGAUCAAGCCAUGCCGCGUGAGUGAAGAAGGCCUUCGGGUUGUAAAGCUCUUUCGUACGGAACGAAAUUGCCUGGACUAAUACUCUGGGUAGAUGACGGUACUGUAAGAAGAAGCACCGGCUAACUACGUGCCAGCAGCCGCGGUAAUACGUAGGGUGCGAGUGUUAAUCGGAAUUACGCAGGCGGUUGCCUAAGCAGGGCGUGAAAGCCCCGGGCUUAACCUGGGAAUUGCGCUUGGGACUGGGCGGCUAGAGUACGGCAGAGGGAGGUGGAAUUCCACGUGUAGCAGUGAAAUGCGUAGAGAUGUGGAGGAACACCGAUGGCGAAGGCAGCCUCCUGGGCCAGUACUGACGCUCAUGCACGAAAGCGUGGGGAGCAAACAGGAUUAGAUACCCGGGUAGUC
rnacentral:rRNA from 1 species